AUGCAAGUCGAGCGAAGCACUUUGCUUAGAUUCUUCGGAUGAAGAGGAUUGUGACUGAGCGGCGGACGGGUGAGUAACGCGUGGGUAACCUGCCUCGUACAGGGGGAUAACAGUUAGAAAUGACUGCUAAUACCGCAUAAGACCACAGCACCGCAUGGUGCAGGGGUAAAAACUCCGGUGGUAUGAGAUGGACCCGCGUCUGAUUAGCUAGUUGGUAAGGUAACGGCUUACCAAGGCGACGAUCAGUAGCCGACCUGAGAGGGUGACCGGCCACAUUGGGACUGAGACACGGCCCAAACUCCUACGGGAGGCAGCAGUGGGGAAUAUUGCACAAUGGGGGAAACCCUGAUGCAGCGACGCCGCGUGAGCGAAGAAGUAUUUCGGUAUGUAAAGCUCUAUCAGCAGGGAAGAAAAUGACGGUACCUGACUAAGAAGCACCGGCUAAAUAUGUGCCAGCAGCCGCGGUAAUACGUAUGGUGCAAGCGUUAUCCGGAUUUACUGGGUGUAAAGGGAGUGUAGACGGAUGGGCAAGUCUGAUGUGAAAACCCGGGGCUCAACCCCGGGACUGCAUUGGAAACUGUUCAUCUAGAGUGCUGGAGAGGUAAGUGGAAUUCCUAGUGUAGCGGUGAAAUGCGUAGAUAUUAGGAGGAACACCAGUGGCGAAGGCGGCUUACUGGACAGUAACUGACGUUGAGGCUCGAAAGCGUGGGGAGCAAACAGGAUUAGAUACCCUGGUAGUCCACGCCGUAAACGAUGACUACUAGGUGUCGGGUGGCAAAGCCAUUCGGUGCCGCAGCAAACGCAAUAAGUAGUCCACCUGGGG
rnacentral:rRNA from 1 species